AGAGUUUGAUCCUGGCUCAGAUUGAACGCUGGCGGCAUGCUUUACACAUGCAAGUCGAACGGCAGCACAGGGAGCUUGCUCCCGGGUGGCGAGUGGCGCACGGGUGAGUAAUACAUCGGAACGUGUCCUGUUGUGGGGGAUAACUGCUCGAAAGGGUGGCUAAUACCGCAUGAGACCUGAGGGUGAAAGCGGGGGAUCGCAAGACCUCGCGCAAUUGGAGCGGCCGAUGCCCGAUUAGCUAGUUGGUGAGGUAACGGCUCACCAAGGCGACGAUCAGUAGCCGACCUGAGAGGGUGAUCGGCCACAUUGGGACUGAGACACGGCCCAAACUCCUACGGGAGGCAGCAGUAGGGAAUCUUCCACAAUGGACGAAAGUCUGAUGGAGCAACGCCGCGUGAAUGAAGAAGGCCUUCGGGUCGUAAAAUUCUGUUGUCAGAGAAGAACGUGCGUGAGAGUAACUGUUCACGUAUUGACGGUAUCUGACCAGAAAGCCACGGCUAACUACGUGCCAGCAGCCGCGGUAAUACGUAGGUGGCGAGCGUUGUCCGGAUUUAUUGGGCGUAAAGGGAACGCAGGCGGUCUUUUAAGUCUGAUGUGAAAGCCUUCGGCUUAACCGAAGUAGUGCAUUGGAAACUGGAAGACUUGAGUGCAGAAGAGGAGAGUGGAACUCCAUGUGUAGCGGUGAAAUGCGUAGAUAUAUGGAAGAACACCAGUGGCGAAAGCGGCUCUCUGGUCUGUAACUGACGCUGAGGUUCGAAAGCGUGGGUAGCAAACAGGAUUAGAUACCCUGGUAGUCCACGCCGUAAACGAUGAGUGCUAAGUGUUGGAGGGUUUCCGCCCUUCAGUGCUGCAGCUAACGCAUUAAGCACUCCGCCUGGGGAGUACGGUCGCAAGACUGAAACUCAAAGGAAUUGACGGGGGCCCGCACAAGCGGUGGAGCAUGUGGUUUAAUUCGAAGCAACGCGAAGAACCUUA
rnacentral:rRNA from 1 species